rnacentral:rRNA from 1 species
AAAUUGAAGAGUUUGAUCAUGGCUCAGAUUGAACGCUGGCGGCAGGCCUAACACAUGCAAGUCGAACGGUAACAGGAAGAAGCUUGCUUCUUUGCUGACGAGUGGCGGACGGGUGAGUAAUGUCUGGGA